rnacentral:rRNA from 1 species
UACGGAGGGUGCAAGCGUUAAUCGGAAUUACUGGGCGUAAAGCGAGUGUAGGCGGCUGCGUAAGUCGGAUGUGAAAGCCCUGGGCUUAACCUGGGAAUGGCACCCGAUACUGCGCGGCUCGAGUCUGACAGAGGGAUGUGGAAUUCCGGGUGUAGCGGUGAAAUGCGUAGAUAUCCGGAGGAACACCAGUGGCGAAGGCGGCAUCCUGGGUCAAGACUGACGCUGAGGCUCGAAAGCGUGGGGAGCAAACAGG